rnacentral:rRNA from 1 species
GUCUACAGCCAUGCCACCCUGAACACGCCCGAUCCCAUCUAAUCUCAGAAGCUAAGCAGGGUCAGACCUGGUUAGUACUUGGAUGGGAGACCACCUAGGAAUACCAGGCCCUGUAGGCG